rnacentral:rRNA from 1 species
UGGCGGACGGGUGAGUAACGCGUGGGGAACCUGCCCUGUACCGGGGGAUAGCAGCCGGAAACGGCUGAUAAUACCGCAUAAGCGCACGAAUGUCGCAUGACAUGGUGUGAAAAACUCCGGUGGUAUAGGAUGGACCCGCGUCUGAUUAGCCGGUUGGUGGGGUAAAAGCCUACCAAAGCGAAGAUCAGUAGCCGAGUUGAGAGACUGACCGGCCACAUUGGGACUGAGACACGGCCCAGACUCCUACGGGAGGCAGCAGUG